GGUCAAGCGAAUAAGCGCACACGGUGGAUGCCUAGGCGGUCAGAGGCGAUGAAGGACGUGGUAGCCUGCGAAAAGUGUCGGGGAGCUGGCAACAAGCUUUGAUCCGGCAAUAUCCGAAUGGGGAAACCCACUGCUUCGGCAGUAUCUUGCAGUGAAUUCAUAGCUGCUUGAAGCGAACCCGGUGAACUGAAAUAUCUAAGUAACCGGAGGAAAAGAAAUCAACCGAGAUUCCCUGAGUAGUGACGAGCGAACGGGGAACAGCCCUUAAGCUGGAAUGGCUUUAGAAAAACAAUCUGGAAAGAUUGGCCAUAGAAGGUGAUAGCCCUGUAUUUAAAAGGGCCACUCCAGUGAAGACGAGUAGGGCGGGGCACGUGAAACCCUGUCUGAAUAUGGGGGGACCAUCCUCCAAGGCUAAAUACUCCUGACCGACCGAUAGUGAACCAGUACCGUGAGGGAAAGGCGAAAAGAACCCCGGAGAGGGGAGUGAAAUAGAUCCUGAAACCGUGUGCGUACAAGCAGUAGGAGCUCGCAAGAGUGACUGCGUACCUUUUGUAUAAUGGGUCAGCGACUUACUGUUCGUGGCAAGCUUAACCGUAUAGGGGAGGCGAAGGGAAACCGAGUCUGAUAAGGGCGCAUAGUCGCGGGCAGUAGACCCGAAACCGGGUGAUCUAGUCAUGGCCAGGGUGAAGGUGCCGUAACAGGUACUGGAGGCCCGAACCCACGUCUGUUGCAAAAGACGGGGAUGAGCUGUGAUUAGGAGUGAAAAGCUAAUCGAACCCGGAGAUAGCUGGUUCUCCUCGAAAGCUAUUUAGGUAGCGCCUCGGACGAAUACUACUGGGGGUAGAGCACUGUUAUGGCUAGGGGGUCAUCGCGACUUACCAAACCAUUGCAAACUCCGAAUACCAGUACGUACUAUCCGGGAGACACACGGCGGGUGCUAACGUCCGUCGUGAAAAGGGAAACAACCCAGACCCACAGCUAAGGUCCCAAAUUCACUGCUAAGUGGAAAACGAUGUGGAAAGGCAUAGACAGCCAGGAGGUUGGCUUAGAAGCAGCCACCCUUUAAAGAAAGCGUAAUAGCUCACUGGUCGAGUCGGUCUGCGCGGAAGAUUUAACGGGGCUAAGCAGUGAACCGAAGCUUGGGGUGCGUAAAACUUCGGUUUUAUGCGCGGUAGAGGAGCGUUCCGUAAGCCUGCGAAGGUGGAUUGAGAAGUCUGCUGGAGGUAUCGGAAGUGCGAAUGCUGACAUGAGUAACGAUAAUGCGGGUGAAAAGCCCGCACGCCGAAAGCCCAAGGUUUCCUUGCGCAACGUUAAUCGACGCAGGGUUAGUCGGUCCCUAAGGCGAGGGCGAAAGCCGUAGUCGAUGGGAAGCAGGUUAAUAUUCCUGCACCUCGCGUGAGUGCGAUGGAGGGACGGAGAAGGUUAGGUGUACCGGGCGUUGGUUGUCCCGGGGAAAGGCGGUAGGUUUGGAUCUUUGGCAAAUCCGGGAUCCUUUAAGACCGAGCACCGAGACGAGCCUUUAUGGCGAAGUCACUGAUACCACGCUUCCAGGAAAAGCUCCUAAGCUUCAGCUCACGAAGACCGUACCGUAAACCGACACAGGUGGGUAGGAUGAGAAUUCUCAGGCGCUUGAGAGAACUCGGGUGAAGGAACUAGGCAACAUGGCACCGUAACUUCGGGAGAAGGUGCACCCUUUUUGGUGGCUCAUGCGAGCUAUAGCUGAAGAGGGUCGCAGAAACCAGGCCGCUGCGACUGUUUAUCAAAAACACAGCACUCUGCAAACACGAAAGUGGACGUAUAGGGUGUGACGCCUGCCCGGUGCUGGAAGGUUAAUUGAUGGGGUCAGCCGCAAGGCGAAGCUCUUGAUCGAAGCCCCAGUAAACGGCGGCCGUAACUAUAACGGUCCUAAGGUAGCGAAAUUCCUUGUCGGGUAAGUUCCGACCUGCACGAAUGGCGUAACGACAGCGGCGCUGUCUCCACCCGAGACUCAGUGAAAUUGAAAUCGCUGUGAAGAUGCAGCGUUCCCGUGGCAAGACGGAAAGACCCCGUGAACCUUUACUAUAGCUUUACACUGAACGUUGAGUUCGUCUGUGUAGGAUAGGUGGGAGGCUAUGAAACUGUGGCGCUAGCUGCAGUGGAGCCAACCUUGAAAUACCACCCUGUCGUGCUUGACGUUCUAACCUAGAUCCGUUAUCCGGAUCAGGGACCGUGUAUGGUGGGUAGUUUGACUGGGGCGGUCUCAGCGCGGUCGGACAUCGCGCACUGUGUGCAAAGGCAUAAGCGUGCUUGACUGCAAGAUCGACGGAUCAAGCAGGUACGAAAGUAGGUCUUAGUGAUCCGGUGGUUCUGUAUGGAAGGGCCAUCGCUCAACGGAUAAAAGGUACUCCGGGGAUAACAGGCUGAUACCGCCCAAGAGUUCAUAUCGACGGCGGUGUUUGGCACCUCGAUGUCGGCUCAUCACAUCCUGGGGCUGUAGUCGGUCCCAAGGGUAUGGCUGUUCGCCAUUUAAAGUGGUACGCGAGCUGGGUUCAGAACGUCGUGAGACAGUUCGGUCCCUAUCUGCCAUGGGCGUUGGAAGUUUGAGAGGGGCUGCUCCUAGUACGAGAGGACCGGAGUGGACGAACCUCUGGUGUUCCGGUUGUCACGCCAGUGGCAUUGCCGGGUAGCUAUGUUCGGAAGCGAUAACCGCUGAAAGCAUCUAAGCGGGAAGCGCGCCUCAAGAUGAGACUUCCCGGGGCACAAGCCCCCUAAAGGAACCAUAUAGACUAUGUGGUUGAUAGGUCAGGUGUGUAAGUACAGCAAUGUAUUGAGCUAACUGAUACUAAUGAUCCGUGCGGCUUGACCAU
rnacentral:rRNA from 1 species